AAACCAGCACCUCAAGUGGUCAGGAGGAUUAUUGGGCCUAAAGCAUCCGUAGCCGGCUCUGUAAGUUUUCGGUUAAAUCUGUACGCUCAACGUACAGGCUGCUGGGAAUACUGCAGAGCUAGGGAGUGAGAGAGGUAGACGGUACUCGGGAGGAAGUGGUAAAAUGCUUUGAUCUCUCGAUGACCACCUGUGGCGAAGGCGGUCUACCAGAACACGUCCGACGGUGAGGGAUGAAAGCUGGGGGAGCAAACCGGAUUAGAAACCCGUGUAGUCC
rnacentral:rRNA from 1 species